CAAAGCCGCCGCGCAGGCGCAGCGCAGCUCGAGCUCGAGCGCCUUCUUCCUCCUCAAGCUCCCCUCUCUCCUGGGUUUAAUUUUCCUUUCGUCGAAAUAUUUUUUCUCUCUUUCUUUUUUCUCGCGCGAGCGAGAGAGAGAAGCGAGUGGAGGGGAGCGGAGGGGCACACGCGGCGGAGGCACGCACUUAGAGGCGAGGGGGGAGAGGGGAAGAGGACAAGACGGCUGGGCGGUGGGCCCCACCUCCGGGUCACUUACACCGGUGGGCCCACCCGCGGGGUGGGGUCACGGCUCUCUCCACUGGGAUAGCAAAGUUUUAUUAACCCCAAGAAAAAGAAAAUAAAACACUCACGUAAAAGAGAAAAAGGGAAAG
rnacentral:lncRNA from 1 species